AUCGCGCCCCGGAUCGCAAUGGAAAUCCUUUUUUUGAAAGGGAAAAGCGAGGCAAAAAAAAGAUUGUAGUGUAGAGCCGGAAAUGUG
rnacentral:sRNA from 1 species